UAGGGAAUCUUCGGCAAUGGACGAAAGUCUGACCGAGCAACGCCGCGUGAGUGAAGAAGGUUUUCGGAUCGUAAAACUCUGUUGUUAGAGAAGAACAAGGACGUUAGUAACUGAACGUCCCCUGACGGUAUCUAACCAGAAAGCCACGGCUAACUACGUGCCAGCAGCCGCGGUAAUACGUAGGUGGCAAGCGUUGUCCGGAUUUAUUGGGCGUAAAGCGAGCGCAGGCGGUUUCUUAAGUCGGAUGUGAAAGCCCCCGGCUCAACCGGGGAGGGUCAUUGGAAACUGGGGGACUUGAGUGCAGAAGAGGAGAGUGGAAUUCCGUGUGUAGCGGUGAAAUGCGUAGAUAUAUGGAGGAACACCAGUGGCGAAGGCGGCUCUCUGGUCUGUAACUGACGCUGAGGCUCGAAAGCGUGGGGAGCAAACAGG
rnacentral:rRNA from 1 species